GUUUAAAGUCACGUUUUCACUUCUCGACCUAAACACCAAUAAAAAGUCGUCGUAAAGAUGGCUCUACCUUCAGGGAGUCGUGCCAGGAUGAGGUGGUCCCACAGAAAUUGGAAAACAUCCAGCGGACGGGGAUGGAUCAUGUCAUUGACUCUCUGAUAUAAUGAGACAUAGGUUGUCCCGUCUUAAUAUGGAGGAAUAUUAUUAAAAAGUGACGAGAAAUAUGA